UCGAGCCUUCACCACCAUGGACAUAGUCUCAGUGAUGUAACCUCUUCCCUCUGAGUUCUACCUUCCGAAGGUCCUACUGUCUUCAGUAGUACCAUGGACUGGGGUCAAGCCUUUGACACUUAGGCUGUUGAUAGGUAUUCCAGAUCCAAACAACAGUAAGGUACCUUGGGACAUGACAUGACAGAUUAUGACGCUCAUGGUCUUCUCCCUGGGUGUAUGUGGUCUAUCCACUUCAAUGACAUUAAAAUUAAAAAGCAGAGUUGUGAGACCAGGAAGCUGUGGGACCAGAAAGAAUAGGCCUGGAGAAGAGUGGGAUUGAGACCUGUUCAAACCCUGGAAAUCUCAUCCUUGAGAUUGGAAGGAGUAGGACCUCUCCCUCUCCCCUGCCUUGGACCUUCAUGUCCUGAUAUGUAGCACUGUGGCCCUACUCUUACCUCACCAGAGGUCACAUAGCCAUAGCUAGUAGCCAGGUUAAAUUUCCUCUCUCCUUAUAAGGUCAUGUCCAGCAGCACCUGAAACUCCGUCCUAUGCAAAUGAGGCAUCCCUAGAACUCUGGCUUGGACCAAUGAUGUACACUCAACUGAGUCCCUACUCAUCCCCAAAGGUUUAAAAUGACCUUUGUCCCCACCAAUUAAACUGAACCAGCUCUUCAAAGCUGUUCCUGGAUAUGUGUGUUCUUUACCGGUGCACUCACUGCUAAUCAAGGCCCUGUACUGCACCCACCUGCCUGGGCUAAGCUUCCUGUGGCUACUCUGAUGGGAAGAAGUGCUCACAGAGCUGCACAGACUUCUGGGAAUGACAGCAUUGUAGAGGAGGUGAUGUUGGGUCCUGGUUCAAGUGUCCCCUUGUUCUGCCUUUGCUCCUUGUUAAUAUCACAAAUCAAAUAUGGUUGAGUCCUAAGCCUUGUACUUAAGGCCUUCGAGGCAGAGGCCAGUUGUUAACCAUUAUGGUAUUCAGUGGGGCUUUCCCCCAGAGGGCAUAUAUCCAUUUGGUCAGGUUUGCUUUUUUUUGUUGUUGUUUUUACUUAUUACCCCUAAAGGGGCCUCUUGUUUACUCAGGUUCAAAAAGACGUUCAGGUCAUACAGACAAACUUUGGAGAAUGCUAACAGAGGCUCAGCUAACAUGACUGAAUGAAUUAACUAGUAACAAUCACUGACAUCCUAUCCCCUGGAGCUAUGGCCUUUCUAGGUCAUCAAUGCUGGAAAACAGAAGACUGAAGACUGGAGGAGAUUGUGGUGUGCAUGGAGGCAGAAGUGAUUUUAUUCGAUGAAGUCAAACCUAUGAAAAUAAUCUUCAGCCAAAGUCCAGCCCAGGCCUGGCACCACCGUAGGCAAGCGGGCCCUGUUUUCCAGUUGAAUUGUCCAUCUCUUCAGGAUGGGCCUGAUGGCGGUAGAGAGUCAAUGAAGGCAGAACAAAGGAGCCAGCUUUUCAGGCUGGCCAUGAAGCAGGUGGCUUUCCAGGGGACACAUUGGCCAAGCUUUGUUUCUGCCUCUGCCCAGGAGAGUUGGAGUCUUCUAGAACCAGUAGACAGGGGUUACACUCAGGAGUGGCAUUCUACAGCAGGGAUUUCCCAACACAUCAACCCCAGAGGUACCACGUAGAGGUCUGACUCCUUAGAACCUAAGAUGGGUGCACAAGCUUGCAGUCUCGAGAUGACAGAUGGCGUCACAUGGAGAGCAAACCCAACGUUGCCGCUCGCUGCAGAGUGUGAAGCAGGCUCUGACCCUUACUUAGCCUCUAGGCGAGAAAGUGUCACGUCACUUUCUUAAUUUCUUUUUUUUUUUUUUUGACAUAUUCUUCCCUCCGCAAAGAACGAAUGUAUUACAGAAGCUCAACGGUCGGUGUUAAACAGGGCGCUGAAGAGCAGAGUCAUCGUGCAGGUCCAAAACGGGGAGAAUGCCCCAUUUGCGUGGGGCUUGUAAGGGAGACAGGCACACUGGAAAGCAACCUACUUUGAUUACAGCAGGUGGUCAGUCACAUACAAGUUUACGUACUUGGAGGCCAGACCUCGUGGGAGGAUAUUAAGUUAUUAAGUACACCGAUCUUGGGUGGGAUUAAUGUUAACCGUGUGGAUAAAGUUCUCCCAAGAAUGAGCUGUUCUUUAAAGAGUGAGACUGGAUCCCACCUCAGGCCUUGGGCUCCUACGUCAUAAUGCUUCUUACAGUUGUUCUCACUGUGAUGCCAUUACCAUGACAAUUAUGGGGCAUGUGGUUGCCAAGGGACUCUCUGAGCCCAACAAAAACUUUUUCUUCCUACAUUACCCAACCUCAGGCAUUUCGUCAUAGCAGCAGGGGGUUAAGACGAUCGUUGCUUAGAUAAGGGGCAUUGAAGGCACUUUGGGAGCACUGAGUAGGGUCACCCUCAUUAGUUUAGAGGAAUAGGCAGUUGUGUCAGAGAAAGCCAUGGUUCUAGCAAGAUCUUGUGGCUGAAAAGAAUCAUCCAUCGAAAGGAACAGGAUCUAGAUCAGCAAAAGGGGAGAAGGGCUUGAAGAAUAAAAGAAAGGCAAGACGUGAGUGAGCCCAUUUGCUGACUAUAGAGAAACGAUCAGUCACACUCAGCCGUUUGAAGACCACAAAGUUGGAACUUCGGCUUCUGCCACGCACGCCCCACGCUCCCAAAUUCCCGUAGCUGGCAGAACCCAGCUGAGUCACCAUGCGAAGGAAAACACCACACAAUCUUAGUUUAUAAUCAACAGGAUACACUACUGGGCCAAAUGGUUAUUGUGACAUUUUCAGGAAGCACAGAUGUUCAUACUCCAUCCACAGCAAAGAAUCCUGGAUUUACUCAGACCUCUUCGGUAUGCAGAUUCCUCAUAGAAGUUAGAGACGGAAGCAAUUUGAGUCAUCAGUGCGCCACUUAUUUCUAUGUUCUUUAUGCAAAAACAUGUUUAACAGACAUAUGAAGAAUAGACCUUUUAUUUCUUCUUUGUAGAUGUCCCCAGGUAAAACAUCAUGUAAUUAGUUAAUGCCUUUGUUAGAAACACAUUAGGAAAAGGAGCCGUCUUGCUGCCAGUUCUGCUGAAUGCACAAGUAAGCUAUUGAUAAAGACCUUACCUGAGCAUGAUGAGGGUUGGUUCCUCCCCCCCCCACCCCAGGAGAUGAGAAGACGGGCGAGGUGAAUGGCAAAGCACAUGAGACCUCUAUCUACCAACUGCUUAAAAGACAGAAAGGUCCCAGGGCAGAACGAGCAUGCACAGUGCUACAAAUCCAAUUACGUCACAACAGACACCUUUAAUCAAGCUGUUACAUUGUUGCUUUCUUUAAAGGGAGCAAACAAAACCUCCCCUUUGGACAUAUUGCUCACAGGAGUACAGCCAUGCCUCCUUCUCAGUGCUUUCCAAGAGAGCAGCUCAGCCUCAGACAUUGUCAGUACUGAAGGAACUCUGCUCCUUUCUUUUUUU
rnacentral:sRNA from 1 species